AUUGAACGCUGGCGGCAUGCCUCACACAUGCAAGUCGAACGGCAGCGCGGACUUCGGUCUGGCGGCGAGUGGCGAACGGGUGAGUAAUGUAUCGGUACGUACCAUUGAGUGGGGGAUAACGUAGCGAAAGUUCCGGUAAUACCGCAUAUUCUCUCCGGAGGAAAGCAGGGGACCGCAAGGCCUUGCGCUCUGUAAGCGGCCGAUAUCAGAUUAGCUAGUUGGUGGGGUAAAAGCUCACAAAGGCGACGAUCUGUAGCGGGUCUGAGAGGAUGGUCCGCCACACUGGAACUGAGACACGGUCCAGACUCCUACGGGGGGCAGCAGUGGGGAAUUUUGGACAAUGGGGGCAACCCUGAUCCAGCCAUGCCGCGUGAGUGAAGAAGGCCUUCGGGUUGUAAAGCUCUUUCGGCCGGGAAAAAAUCGCAUGGAUUAAUACUCUGUGUGGAUGAUGGUACCGGAAUAAGAAGCACCGGCUAACUACGUGCCAGCCGCCGCCGUAA
rnacentral:rRNA from 1 species